AGAGCCAGACUUAGUGGGGGAUAGCUGAAUAGGGCUUCGGAUCGUCUGUCUGCCUGAUUCUCUCUGUAAAUUACCGUAAGAGUCUGUAAAGGUCAGGGGGUGGCUUGUGUCAUUUUUCUGGUCUCAAAGUGCCUUCUCAGUUUGGAGGAUACUUUACUGACUCUCGUCUGCCUUCCAAGAGGCAGAAAAAGGGGAUAAACAGAUGAAUGUUGAGUGUGUAAUAGCAGCGUCUACUCCAGUAGUUAAGCUGAUUCACCUAUAUAGGUUGGAAAGGCUAAUAUCAAGGUGUUGCAGAUUCAGCAUCUGGUGAAGCCCCACUCCUGGUUCAUACAUCCGUAAUUGAGAGAGACAGAGCAUGAACGGGGGAGGGGCAGAGAGAUAGGGAG